rnacentral:rRNA from 1 species
CCAUACCGCGUGGGUGAAGAAGGCCUUCGGGUUGUAAAGCCCUUUUGUUGGGAAAGAAAUCCUGUCGGUUAAUAACCGGUAGGGAUGACGGUACCCAAAGAAUAAGCACCGGCUAACUUCGUGCCAGCAGCCGCGGUAAUACGAAGGGUGCAAGCGUUACUCGGAAUUACUGGGCGUAAAGCGUGCGUAGGUGGUUGUUUAAGUCUGCUGUGAAAGCCCUGGGCUCAACCUGGGAAUUGCAGUGGAUACUGGGCGACUAGAGUGUGGUAGAGGAUAGUGGAAUUUCCGGUGUAGCAGUGAAAUGCGUAGAGAUCGGAAGGAACAUCUGUGGCGAAGGCGACUAUCUGGGCCAACACUGACACUGAGGCACGAAAGCGUGGGGAGCAAACAGGAUUAGAUACCCUGGUAGUCCACGCCCUAAACGAUGCGAACUGGAUGUUGGGCACAACUUGGUGUCCAGUAUCGAAGCUAACGCGUUAAGUUCGCCGCCUGGGGAGUACGGUCGCAAGACUG